rnacentral:rRNA from 1 species
AGGACGAACGCUGGCGGCGUGCUUAACACAUGCAAGUCGAGCGGAAAGGCCCUUCGGGGUACUCGAGCGGCGAACGGGUGAGUAACACGUGAGCAAUCUGCCUUUAGCUCUGGGAUAGCUCCGGGAAACCGGAUUAAUACCGGAUAUGACCUAGGCCGACAUCGGCCGUGGUGGAAAGUUUUUCGGUCUGGGAGGGUCUCGCGGCCUAUCAGCUAGUUGGUGAGGUAACGGCUCACCAAGGCAACGACGGGUAGCUGGUUUGAGAGAACGAUCAGCCACACUGGAACUGAGACACGGUCCAGACUCCUACGGGAGGCAGCAGUGGGAAUCUUGCGCAAUGGGCAAAGCCUGACGCAGCAACGCCGCGUGCGGGAUGAAGGCCUUCGGGUUGUAAACCGCUUUCAGCAGGACGAAAUGACGGUACCUGCAGAAGAAGCCCCGGCUAACUCGUGCCAGCAGCCGC